GACGACGAUGCGUAGGGGUUCUGAGAGGAAGGUCCCCCACACUGGUACUGAGACACGGACCAGACUCCUACGGGAGGCAGCAG
rnacentral:rRNA from 1 species